rnacentral:lncRNA from 1 species
CUGCUGAGCGGGUGUUGCCCUUGCCGCUGUCCUGUGACGUAGCCCUUUUCAAAACCACCUCUCCCAAGUGCUGCACCACUCCUCCUCCAUGCCCAGGGACCGCGGGUGCUUGGGGCCCCGACGCGUACCCAGGUGCCAUCUGGCCCUCACCUCCCGCCGUAGCUGGCUGUGACGCCCGCCAUGGGCACACUGGGGCAGUGCAGUGAGAAGACGAGGAUGCCCAGCAGGCUGACAACGGUGCAGAACAGGCAGAACUUGAUGACCGCGGAGCCCCGGAGCCUGAGCUUGUUCACAAAGAAGCCGCCCAGGAAGGUGCCGCCACCACCCGCUGGCACCACCAGGGCAGCCACACCCCCUCCUCCCCCAGGGGCCUCUGCCGAGUCCCUGCAGGCUGUGACAAGGACAUUUGUCGAAGCCUGAGUGGCCACCAACAGUAAAAAAUUGCGAUUAGCUGGCAUCUAGCUUCUGGGCUGACAAGUGAGGAGGGCACAGACCUGCCCAGCCUGGGAAGGCCAGCCUGCCUCUGGCACCGAGAAACCCCCAGCUGCACUGUUCCAGGAGGUCCUGAGGCACCAGUGCCUGGCUCAUGGAACAGCCAGGUCCAAACCCUUCCUGCACCAAGUCACAGAAGCCAAGACUAGGUGGCUAGGGGGUGGAGCCCACCGUGGACCCUUCCACCUACGGAGCAUGUCCCACAAAGAGGGCAGGACCACCACUCUCCCGGCCUGUGGACAGAGUCGCUCAGCCCCCGUGGCGCUCUCCACACCUGCUCUGGCAGCGGGGGUGGGAGGGCACUCACUGCCAUGUGCCCUGUCUGGGUCUUUCUAGAAGAUGCCCUUGAAGACUCUGUUUCUGAGAACUGACAUAAAAGCAGAGGACCCCCAAGAUUCAGUUUUCUCACCAAACAAGGUGGCAGCUUCUGAGGCACUCAGGCUGAACUGGGACUCCAAGAACUUGGGGCUGAACGUGGACAUGCCGGUGAUGAGAGUGGCCUCGGUGGCCCCGGCCAGGCAGAGCAGGAUGAACGUGGGGUUCUUCAGCAGGAGCCAGAUGGAGCUGGGCAGAGUGUCGCUGACUUGAACCCCUGCGUCUGCAGCUUAGUGACAUCCUGUAAACCUACACUUUCCAGCCUCUCACCAGAGCAGACUGUCGGCCUCACAUCACCCCCACCUGCAGGAGGGCGGCUCUUUCCUCUCGGCCACACCUAGAGCCUGGUUCCGAUGAACGCAACUCUGAAUGCCUGGAACAUUCAAAUGCUCUUGUUUGAGGAGGUGGCCAAAUGUAAAUGGAUUCUGAAGAAUCAGGAACAGACGGUGCAGCCCUAGUUAGCCUCUGAGCCCCAACAGGCCCACAGGUGCCUUGCAGAGCUGAUGUUGGCGUCAGAAACUCCGCUCCAGCCUCACAGGCACUCUGCCUGCUUGGAGGUGUUCGCUGGCUCGCUCAGACUGACCUCAGCAGCCAUGAACAUGGGUUCUUUCUGUCCCCUUCCCUGAUUAAAAUGGGAGAGCCCAGUUCUUUCAAAAUUUAUUUCCUG